AAAAAAAAGCUUAUUUUGGCAUCAAUCGGAAUUUGUCGUAUUUGUCCAGUACUGCACAUCACGUCAGCAAUACAUUAUGAGAAGAGAUGUUUUGUACUCUGACCAGGACAGCAGACUCAGCCUCAGUAUAAUAGCGCAAAAACAAGACCAAGAUUUAAUUCAUGCCUCAUAAAAUCAGAAGUAUUAAUUGAUUCCGCCUUUAAACUUGUCUAUCUCUAUCUCUAGGACAGGAAUAUUGAAACUUGGAGGGAAGGUAUGGCGAACUAUGGGGCGGAAAUAUGGCCGAUGUCCACGUUGAAGAAAUUAUAACCCAGUGCCCUAGCUGCACAAUGAAACUUAAAUAGGAUGUUUGGUUUGACAUAUGAUCGCUAAUACAGGCCACAUUGAACCAACGUGUGACAGUUGGCUAUACGAUGCCCAGAGCGGCAAAUAGUUCUGACUGCCAACACAGGCCUAGUGUGUGGUUCUGCCAUGUUGUAGUUUCGACCUCCAGUCACUGCAGUUCUAAAGAGCAGCUCUUCAGACUGUCUGAAGUAGUUAAUUUCCUGAACAAAGUAAUCUGAUCAGCUACAUUUUGUUAAGAAUCUGUGAGGAAGAUCAGAAGACCGUUUAACGUAUGUGAGAGGGCCACUUCUUGUCUCCAACAGCACUGCUAUUUAUGUCUGUGACUCUCUUUGCAUUGACUUGAAAGAGAAACAUAGCUGGGGCCAAAGUUCCUUUAUACAGGCUUUUAUUCUGAAAUUGACAUUAAGCCUAAUUUUAAAUGGCCACAAUAGUCCAAAGUGUAACAUUGGUUGGGUCAAACCAAUUAUAUAAUGUCCAGAAAAAUUCUGCUCUGUCUUUAAUUACAGUGUGCUGUUCGUCCCCUUUCUAUCAGUGACUCAGAGUCACAUUGUUAUGUAGCUCUUAACUCCCAACUCAGCCCUCCUCUAUGAUAGCUGGAUGUUCCUACAUGUUGUAGUCCCGGCCUUGCUCUAUGCCCACUGUAUUGUAGUGUUCCGCCCUAUCCAGAACCAUAGAGACUUCACAGUCCAAACUAACAGCCCCUCCUUUCUAUGUGUUCAGACGCUAUAGCGAGUAGGUCUCUGCCAGCUGUUGUGUGUGUGAUCAGUUUUGCUUAACUCUAUGUGAUACCCGAUCAGCUUCACCGAGUCAAGCCAGGGUCACAGUGUGUGCAGUAAAACGUCUCGUUCGUUGUCGUUUAAGCUUGAUUUUCACCACGGAGUCGUUGUGAUAUGAGUUAGACGUAGUGCCCAAGCAAUAUUAAACAGUAUUAAACCAUCUUGAACCACACCACCAAUAGCAGACAUACAAGUGAUUCAAAAGGUGAUUACAAAACUGAACUACUAGCAGAGAUGGAAGACGAAGCUAGUGAACUUGAUAAGCAGAAAGAUUCUGACCCGGAAAAGACCAACAGUGAUUGUGGAUCAAAAUUAACAAAGUCGAACAAGAAGUUCAGUCUGGUUUGUGGAAAGAGUAUGGUCCUGGUGAGUCUUAUACUGCAGUCCAAGAGAUGGAAAAAGGGGUGUAAAGCUGCUUCUGACACAGAAGCCCUAACUGUAGACCUAAGUGCAUGUGAAGUUGUUGGGAAGCAAUAAGAUGUUCUGUUACGUCCAAGUUGUAGAGGGUGUAUAUGACCCUUUGUUUGUGAGAUGCUUGUUGCCCUUUGGGUGUAUCUCUGCAGCAGCCAUCCUAGAACCCACCGAGGAGGAGGAGGAGGUGGAAGAGGUGGAGGAGGAGGAGGCUCGCCUCAAACCCAGCUUCACUAUAGAAGGAGCCAUGCUUGCCAGAGCUUGACCAGCCGAGCAGCCAGAGAUGGACCUGCCCCCUCCCCCCUCUGAAGGCCGAAAAUCUGUCUUGCUCCGGCCAUCAACCUCUGGUGGAGGACAUCAAAGUAUCUCCAGAACAGGAGGAGUAAAGUCCGGAGAGACGGCAUGGUGAGCGACAGAGCAGAAGUAAGGUUGAUGUUAUUUCUUUAAUUUAGGUGUUCAGGACUGCUGGAAACUGGAAUGGAUCUCCUCUGUUCUUUGGUCAUUAAAAGUCAAUAUAACAGCUUUCCAUUGAGAUUAUAGGUUGUAUAGUGGAUAGGUUUCUUACAGUUACCAAUUUACAUAUUUGUAUAAUAAACCUUCAUUUUGCCUGCACUAAUGAGGCCUGGAUCCAGUGUGUUAACGGCCCACAGGAACUUAAGUUGUACGUUUGGUUUGACAAACAAUCGCCACCACUGGCCACAUCAAUCCAACGUGUAGCAGUCCAGCUAUAUGAUGCCCAAAAUAGUAGGUAGUUCUGGAUGCCAGCUCAGUCCUAGUGUGUGGAGUCUGAGGGUUUCGCCAUACUGCGGUUCCGACCCUCUGACAUUGCAGCCCUGAACAGCAGCUUAACUACCAUGUGUAUGAGGCACACAGGGAGAGAUUGAAGCCAGCUUGAUUGAAACAGUCAGUUUUGAGCAGGGCAAUCUGAUCAGCUAUUUUCUGUUCAAAAUUAUUAAGGGUGAUCAGAAAACCGUUUGAAGCAUAUGAGAGGGCAAUUACUUAUCUCUGACAGUACUACUAUUUGUGUCGGUAGCUCCCUUUGCACCAACCUGAGAGGAAGAAACAUAACAGAAUAACAGAGGCCAGAGGGAUUCUUUAUACAGGUUUCUAUUUUAAAACUCACAGCAAGCUCAGUCACUUUAGAACUCUAAUCUUUACAAAAGAAUCCCAGGCGAAUUCACAAAUCAUGUUUGUGAAUCAUGUGUUUCACAAACAUGUGAUUCUUUUGUUUGUGAAAUGUUUGUUGCCCUUCAGGUGUAUCUCUGCGACAGCCAUCCUGGAAUCCACAGAGGAGGAGGAGGAGGAGGAGGAGGAGGAGUACCCCCAAGUCAAGCCCCUCUACGGAAAGAAGGUGUUGUUUGCAGGAGCUAAACUGACUAGGUAGCCGAUCGAGAAGGUGGAGGCAGCAGUGGACCAGCAGACUGCUGGCUGAUGUUUAAAAGCACACUGAAGGCAGAUACACCAAAGGUUUGAAACACUGAAGAGAACAGGCCGUUGGGAAGGUUGCCUAUUUUGUCCUGUGGGUGAGCUUCGCUGUGCUGAAAGAAGCCUAGUGAAUUAUCUUUGUUUGUGUUACGGCCAACUUUACUGGGUUUUCCUGCCACAAUUCACCUCUCAGUGUAACAGAGGUGGGAUUGUUUACACCUGGGAGUAAGGGAGGAUGACAGACCAAAUGAAAGGAGUUGGAACGUGGAAGAACUCACGGGACAAGGAAGAGUCUUCUUUCUAAGAUAGAAGAAGGACAAAGCGGGGGAACAGCAGAGCCAGAUCAGGAGGCUCUGCCAUCAUGGAGCGGCGUCUUCGUACAUUUUCCAGACCUCUCCACAUGGGUGAAGGAGAACAACCCAAAGACUGAAGAGGAAGCAGCAGACCUGGGUGAAUGUAAUCUUCAAGUGGAUGCUUUGAGCGCUGCUAGCUCAGGAAGGAGCUGGUGAAGAAGAAACACGUUCUUUUAUUUAGGURAGAAGCAGUUGGAUCAAGAAAARUAAAUAAAUAAAUACUCCCCAGUAGAAAAGGAGGGACUUGCAAUAAAGUGGGCUUUGUCCUCUUUAAAAUAUUGUUUCCUAGGAAGGGWGUUWACUCUGUAGGCUGAUCACAAACCUCUGAGGUGGAUGUAAUUCAAGCAGCAUCAGAAUGACCUUGUGUUGGUGCCCCGCCUCACAGCCAUACCAGCUCACCAUACAGCAUUGUCCAGAUGUCCUUGCAGCAGCCAUCUURGAAUCCUCCAAGCGGGAGGCCCGCCUCAAAUCAGCUACUCAUCAGAGAGRGUAACGUUUGCUGGAGCAUGACCACYUGGGCAGCCAACCGARAGGGYAGGGACAACAGUACACAAGGAGACUGUUGGUUGACGCUUGGAAGGGCGCUGAGAGUCUGGGACWUUAAAAACUUGAAACACUGAAGCUGAGAGAUUGAGGCUGARGGACUGUUGGGAAAGCUGCCAUUUUAUCUUUUGGGUGAGUUUUGUGCUGAGGGAGGCUUAAUAAAUCACAUUUGUUGAUGGUACAGCCAACUUUGCCGAGUUUUCCUUCCACACCACACCUCUUUAAAGUAACAGGAAUGCAGCUGUCCUCUGUGGAGAGUGUGAUCUAGGAGUCUAUUAAAGUGUUGUGGCCUGGGAAAUAAUGAUUAUCGUAGAAGAGGAAUAACGUAUAUAGAAGAAAGAAUUGGAAUAAAUUAAAAUGGUGAGAAAUAAACUUCUAACAAGAGAAUCACAGUUUGCCAUAGUAUAAGAGACUGCAAGGGAGAMGAGCAAGUCAGGUGCAGCAAAAGCAGUCCUCGCAUUUCUAUCUAUACUAGCUCAACAUGCAYCCAUCAUUGCAAAGAUCAGACCGAUUUGUCUACCAAAGUUCCAUGGCUGUAGAAGAAACUUCCACUGGUGGAGAAAAGUCUUGGAAGGGUUGAGUUUUUCUCCCGGGUUCAGUUCAGAAUAUGGUACCCCUAAAUUUAAUGUUAGUGCGCAAAUGUGAAUGCAACCUAGAUGUUAUUGCAAGUUAUCACUGUUGCAAUGUAGUAGAAAYAUAGGCACUAAGACUCCCAUUCUUCUGUUACAGCCUCAGAAUAGUUAUUYAGUCUUCAAAGCAUUUCUCACAGGCUACAUUUUCAGUCAUUCUCUCUCCAUGUUUUAAAAGCUGGGGUCUGUGGCAUCUUUCAUARAGUCAAAAUGAGACGGGCAUAGGUAACAACUCCAGUGUUUAGUACUCUGACAGCUGCUUUAUGAACACCUGGGACCACAUCCCGGCCCCCUAACAGGCACAAUCUUGGUGAAAUAGGURGUYYACUCUUUAACCAUCCCUCCAUGUGUUUUAUAACACUAUUCCAUAUUGGAGAGAUCAGCGGACAUUCCCAUAAAGCAUGCAGCAAUGUACCUCUUGCUCUUUGGCAUUUCCAGCAAAAGUCAUCUUUGCUAAUACCCAUCUUAUGUAGUSUUAAUGGUGUAAGAUAAAACCUGUUCAAAAUUACAUAUUGAGKAAAUUUCCCUUUGGCCUCUCUUACAUAAUACCCGUUUUUARAAACAAUAGAGUCCCAUGUUUUAAUUUUCAAAAGUGCAGCCCAGAUCUCCUUCCCAUACUAUUUUAAAACUUUUACUUUUAUUGUAUUAACCCAUGAACACAUGUUGUACCAUUUUGAUGCUUUACUAGUUAAAGGUGGAAGGUGAAAGGUGGAGGAAAACAAAAAAUAAAUAAAUAAAUGAAUAAAUGUUCCCCAAGUGAAAUUUUGUCCUGUCCUUCAAACAGUCUCUAAUUAGUAAGUAUUUCCAAAAGUGACUUUGUCCCUCUAACUUAAACUUUUCUUUCAGAUCAUUAUAUGACAUAAAUGUGUCUUAUACAAAUAAAUCAUCAAUUAUCCGUACACCUUCCUUUAACCAAUGUGAUCAAUAAAUUGCUUGCCGAUAUUGAUAUUAGCAUUAUGCCACAGGGACGCAUACCUCUGGACAUAUGGAGAGAGCACAAGUUUUUUGUGGACCGUUUGCCACACCAUUUUGAGAAUUWUAAUAUGGAGUUAUCUAUUUUAUUCUGUUUAUUAUCUAUCUUUUGAGUCAAUACCUCGAUAGGGGUCUAAAUCUGAUUUAGUUUCUGGCCAAUGUCCGCACAUCUUGGGCAUUUCAAAUGAAAUGCUAUAAUGUUCUAUGUUAGGUAAGGUCAGCCCCCCUUCUUUUUGGGUUGACAUAGUUUGCCAAUAUUGAUUCAGAGUUUUACCACCAUCACACAGAAAAUGUUUAAUCAUAUUAUUAUAUUUUCGAAGAAUUUGAGCUGGGAUACAGAUUGGUAUCAUUCCAGUAUAAUAAUUUAUCGAGGGACCUAUAACCACCUUUAUUGUGUUUAUCUUACCCCCUAAUGUUAGAUGUAAUUUGGUCCRGUUGUCCAAGUUAGAUUAAUUCUGGUAAGCAGUUUUUCUAUAUUUUCUAUCAUGAUUUCAUUAACAUCUGGAUUAAGUGUUAUUUCUAGAUAUUUCAUGCCUUUUUGUAACCACUUGAAAUUGAAAGUGGAUAAUAAGUUUGCAGAGCAGGCUUUUGACACAGGCACUGCC